rnacentral:rRNA from 1 species
UACGUAGGGGGCGAGCGUUGUUCGGAUUUACUGGGCGUAAAGAGCGCGUAGGCGGUUCGAUAAGUCGGAGGUGAAAUCCCUCGGCUCAACCGAGGACCCGCGUCCGAUACUGUCGAACUUGAGUGCAGGAGAGGAGAGCGGAAUUCCCAGUGUAGCGGUGAAAUGCGUAGAUAUUGGGAGGAACACCGGUGGCGAAGGCGGCUCUCUGGACUGUCACUGACGCUGAGGUGCGAAAGCUAGGGGAGCAAACGGGAUUAGAUACCCCGGUAGUCCUAGCCGUAAACGAUGGGCACUAGGUGUGGGAGGUAUCGACCCCUUCCGUGCCGCAGCUAACGCAUUAAGUGCCCCGCCUGGGGAGUACGGCCGCAAGGUUGAA